CCAAAACCUUUCCCAGUCUCCUUCAAGGUCACCCAAGUUCUUAAUCGAACCUGACCUACAUGGAUAAAAAUAUAAACCAUGGAAGAAAACAUGCAGCAAAUUAGGCCAUGGUGGCGCCUAGUUCUCCUGCAGAACUUUCCCAUGCCGUCUGAAGAAGAGAGGUUGAAAGAUCGAAAAAGGCUGCAAAAACAAAACGCACUACAGGAUGAUGUAGAAGAUGCCCCCCCCCCCUGAGAAGUCACAGCAUGUCACUUCAGCAUCCAGCUCUGCAGGAUCAGGUGAUACUGAAAACGAAAUGCACGGAAGCAGAUGUUCUUAUAAGGGACACCUUAGAGGCAGCAAGGUAGUGUGAACUCCAAACAUUUAAAGGCACUGUUUCCCUCCCCAGUGUAAUUGGGAUGGACAGGGAAGACUCCAUUACAACCCUUAAAGGACUACGGUUGUAUGAUGGCCUGGAUGAAGAGGAAAAUAUUCUCAAGGAACCAUUCAUGUUACAGAGAGAUUGAGAUGUUCUGUGUGGAGGCAGUUGAAAACAAGAACAUUACUGUCUUUGCCUCUUGAGGAGCAGGAGUGAAGCCAUUUUUGAGGAGUGGUCAAACCUUGUUUUUGUCUGCUGUGUUAAUUGUUAAUUGUUUUAAUUGUGUUAAGUUGUUUAGUAAAGAUGACGUUGAAGUCA